UCUCCGUUGGUGAACCAGCGGAGGGAUCAUUACAGAGUUGCAAAACUCCCAAACCAUUGUGAACGUUACCUAUCCCGUUGCUUCGGCGGGCGGCCCGGGCCCCGCGCCCGGCGCCCCCCGGCCCCCCGUGGGCGCCCGCCGGAGGUAAACCAAACCCUUCAAUUGCAUGGCCUCUCUGAGUCUUCUGUACUGGAUAAGUCAAAACUUUCAACAACGGAUCUCUUGGUUCUG
rnacentral:misc_RNA from 1 species